GCCGAUAUAGCUCAGUGGAUAGAGCGCACGGCUAGUGACAGUGAGGUCUCGGGCUCGAACCCGGUCUCGGCA